rnacentral:rRNA from 1 species
AUGGGGAGUCGGAAAAUGGCGUCACAGCCCGGGCGCGGCGCCGGCGCCGGCGACGACGCCGGCACGUCGCAGCGCGGGCAGGUGCAGAGCCUGGCGAGGCAGGGGUCUCUGUACAGCCUCACCCUCGACGAGGUGCAGAACCAUCUGGGAGAGCCCCUGCAGAGCAUGAACCUCGAUGAGCUGCUCAGGACCGUGUUUCCUGACGACAUGGAGCCCGAUGGCGCGACCACCAGCCAGUAUGUGCCGAGCUCAAGCCUCCUGCGCCAGGGCAGCAUCACGAUGCCGACCGAGCUCAGCAAGAAGACGGUGGAUGAGGUGUGGAAGGGCAUCCAGGAGACACCCAAGAGGAGUGUCCAGGGGAGUGGCCGGCGCAAGCGGGAGAGGCAGCCCACACUCGGGGAGAUGACACUCGAGGAUUUCUUGGUCCAAGCAGGGGUUGUCACCCAAGGAUUUCUCAAGGACACUGGCGAUGCUGGCAAUUUGGGUCUGGUGGGGAGAGGUGCCACAGCAGCCGGAGCCGCCGAUUUGACAUCUGGGGCGCAGUGGUUAGGCCAGUACCAGCAGCAGAUUGCAGCUGCAGCCGUCAGCACUCAUCAGCAUGGCCAGCAAAUUGUGCCAGCUGCUUAUAUGCCCAUUCAGUUUGUCCCUCAGCCGCUGAAUGUUGUUGGCCCUGGUGCCUCUGUGGGGUCUGCUUACUCUGAUGGCCAGAGUACAUCACCAAUCAGUCCAAUAUCUGAUUCUCAGACACCUGGGAGAAAGCGUGGUGUAUCAGGAGAUAUCCCGAAUAAGUUUGUGGAGAGAAGGCAGAAGAGAAUGAUCAAGAAUAGGGAGUCGGCUGCCCGUUCAAGGGCUAGGAAGCAGGCCUACACUAAUGAACUCGAAAACAAGGUAUCCCGUUUAGAAGAGGAGAAUGAGAGGCUAAAGAAGCAAAAGGAGUUGAACAUGAUGCUUUGCUCGGUGCCUCUACCAGAACCCAAGUAUCAACUCAGGAGAACAUGCUCGGCCGCUUUCUGA